GGCAGGGCAAUUGGACGUUGAGGAUCGCGAAUCCGGUCAGGUUCGGAAGAAAGCAGCCGUAGUGAACACCGGGCGGGUCGAUUGUCCUUUUAAA
rnacentral:SRP_RNA from 1 species